AGUGAACGCUGGCGGUAGGCCUAACACAUGCAAGUCGAACGGCAGCACAGUAAGAGCUUGCUCUUACGGGUGGCGAGUGGCGGACGGGUGGGGAAUACAUCGGAAUCUACUUUUUCGUGGGGGAUAACGUAGGGAAACUUACGCUAAUACCGCAUACGAUCUACGGGUGAAAGCAGGGGAUCUUCGGACCUUGCGCGAUAGAAUGAGCCGAUGUCGGAUUAGCUAGUUGGCGGGGUAACGGCCCACCAAGGCGACGAUCCGUAGCUGGUCUGAGAGGAUGAUCAGCCACACUGGAACUGAGACACGGUCCAGACUCCUACGGGAGGCAGCAGUGGGGAAUAUUGGACAAUGGGCGCAAGCCUGAUCCAGCCAUACCGCGUGGGUGAAGAAGGCCUUCGGGUUGUAAAGCCCUUUUGUUGGGAAAGAAAAGCAGCAGGUUAAUACCCCGCUGUUCUGACGGUACCCAAAGAAUAAGCACCGGCUAACUUCGUG
rnacentral:rRNA from 1 species